GAUGAAGAACGCAGCGAAAUGCGAUACGUAAUGUGAAUUGCAAAUUCAGUGAAUCAUCGAGUCUAUGAACGCACAUUGCGCCCCCUGGUAUUCCGGGGGGCAUGCCUGUCCGAGCGUCAUUGCUGCCCUCAAGCACGGCUUGUGUGUUGGGCCCCGUCCUCCGAUCCCGGGGGACGGGCCCGAAAGGCAGCGGCGGCACCGCGUCCGGUCCUCGAGCGUAUGGGGCUUUGUCACCCGCUCUGUAGGCCCGGCCGGCGCUUGCCGAUCAACCCAAAUUUUUAUCCAGGUUGACCUCGGAUCAGGUAGGGAUACCCGCUGAACUUAAGCAUAUCAAUAAGCGGAGGA
rnacentral:misc_RNA from 1 species